CAGCGGGCGCGGCUCGCCUCCCACUACCGAUGGAGUGGAGUUGAUGUCCCCGCCGCCCAACCUGAAAUGACCCCAACAGGCUCACUCUGUGUACCGCCACCCCGCACCCCGACCCUCUGCUGGGCCCCUCUGCCAGCGGGGACGGUCCCUAGCCUGUGCUGCCAGGAGCACCGCUGCGGAGCGGUGGUGAGAGGUGACCCGAGGCCGCCACGCCGCGGCCGGGGCCACGGAAACCACAGGGGUUUUUAAACGGCGAAAGGGGGCGCCCCAGAACCGGGCUCAGUCCGGGAGGGUAGGGAAGCGACGUUCCCCCCGUCCCCGCCCCGUUCCCCGGACUUCUGCCUGCCACCGCUCUGGGACCUGUCUCUCUUACUACUCCUCUGCCUGGGCCCGGACUUAGGGCGGAGGAGACCUGGGCAAUGGCGAGGCUUCCAGCUCAGCGCAGCCCACCGACCACCCGCCGCAGUCCCCACGUCUCUGCUCGGGGACUGAGGCCGAGCUGUUCCCCACAGGCGUGUGUCACGCCUUUGGCAGCCCCGGCGCGUGGAGACAAAUCUACGCUCUGUCUGUUUGGGUGUCAGGAAAACAGGGUCCUAUUACCUCUCUGAAGAGGAUUGUGUUUCCUGGAGGUGGGCUUUCAACUGGGGGUUGGGAGCAGUGGAUGAGAGAGAAACUAGAUCUGUCUCUUGCUGGACCUCAAAAGACUCUGGGGCAACUGAACUCCAGGCAGGAAGCCCAAGAUCACAGGCACUUUUCAUUCAAGGAUCCCAAGUGCUCCCUGAAACAAGCUGGCAAACCAAGCAACAUCCCCUCUCCAACCUAUUCUGUCCCUAACCCCACAUCCCAGGUACCAUCAUAGAAGGACGUGGCCUUUAUACUUUGGAAGAAAUCCUGAGAAGUCUCCUGUUCUUCGCUUGGUCUUUCUCCCGUGUCAUUCCCUUCUGUGCCCCUCGUUUGUCUGUGAAGUGGAGUUAAACACAAUAGCAGGGUCUUAGCUGAGCCUUGGUGACUUUGUUCCCUCCCAGGGUGGAUCAGAGGGCAGGAACAGUAUGGUGAAGCCAGCCUGGAGUUGGCACCAGAAGAUGAUGGACUGAAAGGGCUCUAAAUGGGAACCCAUUGGUAGAACCUUUAAGUGUUCUUUGCCUCAAAAACAAACAAAAGAAACAAAGCAAACAAAACAGACUUCCAGAAAUCAAGUGGGAUACCAGCUCCAACUAUUCUUUUUUUAAAUUGUUAAUUUAAAAAAUUUAUUUAAUUGUAGUUGAUGAACAAUAGUAUGUAAGUUACAGGUAUACAAUAUACUGAUGCACAACGUAUAAAGGUUAUGCUUCACUUAGAGUUAUUAUGAAAUAUUGGCUAUAUUUUCCAUAUUGUACAAUAUAUCCUUAUAGCUUAUUCUAUACAUAAGAGUCAGCACCCCUUAAUCCCCACCCCGCCUUCCACUCCCUACUUCCCUCUCCCCACGGGUAACCACAAGUUUGUUCCCUGUAUCUGUGAGUCUGCUUCUUUUUGGUUCUGUUCAUUAGUGUGCUGUAUUCAGAUUCAGAUUCCACAUACCUUAAUUGUCUUUUGCAGGGAGGUGUGAUCCCCAGAGGCUAAAGAAGCCACACACAUUUGGGUGAGAGUUACAAGGAACAAAGAUACACUGGGCAGACAUGAAAUACUAGAAAUCCAUGGUGUUGGUCUGUCUGAUGGGACCCCUUUCUCUGUACCUCUCAUUUUUCUCUGCCAGAGAAGCCACUGUCUUUGCCGCUACUGGGAUCCUAGUCACCUUAUAUUGGACAGCUAGGAGUGGAGGGAUGAAGAAAACUGGGGGGACACUGCCAUUCAGAACCACAGUGUUGCUCUCUUCUGAUCUGACUCCUUCCUUUUGAUCAUGAAUACUUCCCAGCAACUUUCAUUGCCUACGCUUGUUUUUGGAGGUUCCACUUUCUUCUCUUUCCCCUAGUUGAAUGAUCUUCAGUCCAAAUUGCAAAGGACAGCAUCAGACUGACUGGGGCAAUGAAUCUCUCUCCUAUUAAGAAGAGAGCCUCUUGCAAGAAGUUACUCUAUACAUUGUAUAGCUAGGCUAGUCUUUGAUCAAGUGUCCACACUUCUCUAGAGAGUAUCAUACUCAGUGGAGUAAGUCAGACAGAGAAAGGCAAAUACCGUAAGAUAUCACUUAUAUAUGGAAACUAAUUUAAACAAUGAUACCAAGAACUUAUUUAUAAAACAAAUAAAAUUACAGAUUUUGAAAUCAAAUCUGUGGUUACCAAAGGAGAAUCAGUGGCAGGGAGGGAUAAAUUAGGGGGUGGAAUUAACAUAUACACACUACUAUAUAAAAUAGGAGUUUCCCUGUGGCACAGUAGGUUAAGGAUCUGGCAUUGUCACUAUAGCAGCUCAGGUCACUGUUGUGGUACGGGUUUAAUCCCCAGCCCAGAAACUUCUUUAUUCCACAGGCGGGUGUGGCCAAAAAAGAAAAAAUUAAAUUAAAUUAAAUAAAUACAAGGACCUACUGUAUAGCAAGGAAAGUCUACUCAAUAUUCUGUAAUAACCUAUAUGGGGAAAAAGAAUGGAGAUGCAUAUAUACACAUAUAUAUAUAACUGAUAUAUAUAACAGAUUUAUUUUGCUGUACACCUGAAACUAAUACAAUAUUGUAAGUCAACUAUACUUAAAUAUUUUUUUUUAAAGAGCAACCUGGUAUUGUUUAUGAGAGUGGGGAACUGUGAGUUAGGAAUUUCAGCUUGAGAGGGAUAUCAGGCAC
rnacentral:lncRNA from 1 species